AAGAGGGAGGAGUUUUCAUAUUUCAUAUUUUUUUUUCUUUUUUUAGUGAAUUAUAAUAGUAAAGCCAAGUCCUAACAGUAACGUCUAUGAUCAUUAAACUAAUACAAAAGAAUUAAAGUGUUUUACUAAUUUUUUUAUAAGUAAUUUGAUUAAGCAAAUGACAUUUAGAUAGCAUAGCUUCUCCCCAAAUAUUUUCAAGUUCAUUAAAAU
rnacentral:lncRNA from 1 species